UUCCCCAAAUGUGGGAAUCUCGAUUGCAUAAUUUCUGGUAGUGGGGGACUGCGUUCGCGCUCUCCCCUG
ensembl:snRNA U1 U1 spliceosomal RNA